AGGAAAUUAGCGAAUGGGCUAGAGCAUCCGAUUUGAAUCGGAAGUGUUCAACGGUUCGACUCCGUUAUUCUCCACCA
rnacentral:tRNA from 1 species